rnacentral:rRNA from 1 species
ACACGUGCUACAAUGGCGUAAACAAAGGGAAGCGAAGUCGUGAGGCGGAGCGAAUCCCAAAAAUAACGUCUCAGUUCGGAUUGUAGUCUGCAACUCGACUACAUGAAGCUGGAAUCGCUAGUAAUCGCGAAUCAGAAUGUCGCGGUGAAUACGUUCCCGGGUCUUGUACACACCGCCCGUCACACCAUGGGAGUCAGUAACGCCCGAAGUCAGUGACCUAACCGAAAGGGAGGAGCUGCCGAAGGUGGGACCGAUAACUGGGGUGAAGUCGUAACAAGGUAGCCGUAUCGGAAGGUGCGGCUGGAUCACCUCCUUU